GCUGAUGUGGCUCAGGGGUAGAGCACUUCCUUGGUAAGGAAGAGGUCGGCGGUUCAAUUCCGCUCAUCAGCUCCA
rnacentral:tRNA from 1 species